rnacentral:rRNA from 1 species
CCGCUCAGGAUGAACGCUGGCGGCGUGCCUAAUACAUGCAAGUCGAGCGAACAGAUAAGGAGCUUGCUCCUUUGACGUUAGCGGCGGACGGGUGAGUAACACGUGGAUAACCUACCUAUAAGACUGGGAUAACUUCGGGAAACCGGAGCUAAUACCGGAUAACAUAUUGAACCGCAUGGUUCAAUAGUGAAAGGCGGCUUUGCUGUCACUUAUAGAUGGAUCCGCGCCGUAUUAGCUAGUUGGUAAGGUAACGGCUUACCAAGGCAACGAUACGUAGCCGACCUGAGAGGGUGAUCGGCCACACUGGAACUGAGACACGGUCCAGACUCCUACGGGAGGCAGCAGUAGGGAAUCUUCCGCAAUGGGCGAAAGCCUGACGGAGCAACGCCGCGUGAGUGAUGAAGGUCUUCGGAUCGUAAAACUCUGUUAUCAGGGAAGAACAAAUGUGUAAGUAACUGUGCACAUCUUGACGGUACCUGAUCAGAAAGCCACGGCUAACUACGUGCCAGCAGCCGCGGUAAUACGUAGGUGGCAAGCGUUAUCCGGAAUUAUUGGGCGUAAAGCGCGCGUAGGCGGUUUUUUAAGUCUGAUGUGAAAGCCCACGGCUCAACCGUGGAGGGUCAUUGGAAACUGGAAAACUUGAGUGCAGAAGAGGAAAGUGGAAUUCCAUGUGUAGCGGUGAAAUGCGCAGAGAUAUGGAGGAACACCCAGUGGCGAAGGCGACUUUCUGGUCUGUAACUACCGCUAUU